UUUGCAUAUCAUCCCUUUCCAUUUCAAAAUUACAUUUAUCAUCCUCCUAAAAAUGUUUCAUUUUCAUCUACGCUGUAUUGAUGAUGAACUAGGAAUUUAAUUUUCCACCAUUCAACAUACUUCAUUUUAACUUAAAAGAGUAAUUGAUUUUUACAUAAAAUUUUUAAAUAUAAAAUUUACAUAUUUUUAUUUUUCAUUCAUAUUGUACAGUCCAAUUUUGGCCUGAGCCAAAAUAAAGCCAAACCAAACUAAACCUAACAAACCCCAAACCAAUAUCAAACCAAAACCCAAUUAAAAACCAUCAGCCCAAUAACAGAAAAAAAAACAAAACAAAAAGAAACCCUAGCCCUUAGGUCUUCUAAUCAGCCACCAUUGCCACCCUAGCCUCUGCACCGCUUGCUGCUGCUACCUUGUCACGUCCACCGCCCUCAAGUUGCACCUACACACAAGCAACAGUGAUAGCUAAAAAAUAGAUUAAAAAGUAUUGUAAAUGACUAUAAAAGCCAUUAUAAAUCAAAUGUAUUUUCUCUGGACACAGAUGAAUACAAAAAUAGUGUUUCAAACAUACAUUUAAAUACAAAAGAAAAACAGCAAGCAAGCAGAAAAAGAAACCAGGUCCAAAAGCAUAUUAAAGGUAUUUUCCUUUUUAUUUUCUUCUUUUUUUUAAAUCUGUUAUAUAAGUAUACUUAUCAAAAAAGAAUCAAAGGGAAUAAAAAGGGAAAGAGCAUACCUAGUUCUUCGAUUCGGCCGAAAAGAGGGAGGUUUUUUGAGUUCCGGCCGCCGGAGCUCCCACCGCGAUCAUGCUGAGGAGGAGAGUGAUAGAGAGAAUGGAGAGUCUUUUGUUUUUCUUUGAGAAGUUCGCUAAAAAUGAAAAAAAUUAGAUUUUUUAACUUAAACAAUGAAAUGAAAAUGAUGCCGUUUUGGCUUAGUGUCUAUGGACACUAAACGGCGUCAUUUUGGUGUGUAACGGGUCGACCCGACCCUCUAAGCCAAGGUCCGCGUGUUUUCUUUGCAGAAGGGCUAAUUGCACUUUCAGCCCUUCCGCUUUUCAAGUGUUUGGCAAUCAAGUUUUUUUUUAUAAUUUUUAUUUAUACCCUGUGUUUUAUCUCAAUUACAUCUUAGCCCGCAUCUGAACAACGCCGUUUUGGAGAGAAAGGAUAAUUCCUAUUUUCGUCCCUCCACGUUGUGCGCGUGUUGUAAUGCAGUCCUCCCCCUCCUUUUUGUUUCGAAUUUACCCCCUAACUUCUGUUUUAAGC
rnacentral:lncRNA from 1 species